AUUGAACGCUGGCGGCAGGCCUAGCACAUGCAAGUCGAGCGGAUGAGGGGAGCUUGCUCCCUGAUUUAGCGGCGGACGGGUGAGUAAUGCCUAGGAAUCUGCCUGGUAGUGGGGGAUAACGUUCCGAAAGGAACGCUAAUACCGCAUACGUCCUACGGGAGAAAGCAGGGGACCUUCGGGCCUUGCGCUAUCAGAUGAGCCUAGGUCGGAUUAGCUAGUUGGUGAGGUAAUGGCUCACCAAGGCGACGAUCCGUAACUGGUCUGAGAGGAUGAUCAGUCACACUGGAACUGAGACACGGUCCAGACUCCUACGGGAGGCAGCAGUGGGGAAUAUUGGACAAUGGGCGAAAGCCUGAUCCAGCCAUGCCGCGUGUGUGAAGAAGGUCUUCGGAUUGUAAAGCACUUUAAGUUGGGAGGAAGGGCUGCUGGUUAAUACCCUGCAGUUUUGACGUUACCAACAGAAUAAGCACCGGCUAACUUCGUG
rnacentral:rRNA from 1 species